rnacentral:rRNA from 1 species
AGCGAACGCUGGCGGCAGGCCUAACACAUGCAAGUCGAACGGACCCUUCGGGGUUAGUGGCGGACGGGUGAGUAACACGUGGGAACGUGCCUUUAGGUUCGGAAUAGCUCCUGGAAACGGGUGGUAAUGCCGAAUGUGCCCUUCGGGGGAAAGAUUUAUCGCCUUUAGAGCGGCCCGCGUCUGAUUAGCUAGUUGGUGAGGUAAUGGCUCACCAAGGCGACGAUCAGUAGCUGGUCUGAAAGGAUGACCAGCCACAUUGGCACUGGUAACCGGCCCAAACUCCUACGGGGGGCAGCAGUGGGGAAUCUUGCUCAAUGGGCGAAAGCCGGACGCAGCGAUGCCGCGUGGAUGAUGAAGGUCUUAGGAUUGUAAAAUCCUUUCACCGGUGAAGAUAAUGACGGUAGCCGGGGAAGAAGCCCCGGCUAACUUCGUGCCAGCAGCCGCCGUAA